rnacentral:rRNA from 1 species
CUAAACUGAGGAGAGUCGGCCGAAACUGAUCGACUCGAGGAACGUAGAGGGAAGCGGAACUCUCGGAGUAGCGGUGAAAUGCGUAGAGACCGAGAGGUACCCCGAUGGUGAAGACAGCUUCCUGGGCGUUUCCUGACGCUGAAGCGCUAAGGCCAGGGGAGCGAAGGGGAUUAGAUACCCCCGUAGUCCUGGCUUCAAACGAUGUGGGCUUGGUGUCGGCUCCCGACAGAGAGUCGUUGCCGGAGCUAACGUGUUAAGCCCACCGCCUGGGGAUUACGUCCGCAAGGAUGAAACUCAAGGGAAUUGACGGGGGCCCACACAACCGGUGGAGCACGUGGUUUAAUUCGAUGAUAAGCGAAGAACCUUACCAGGGCUUGACCUAGCGGUGGUAGGAUCCUGAAAGGGAAACGACCUCAAGCUUUGCUUGAGGAGCC